GCGGAUGACGGCCGGGUUCCGGCUGAUUGUGGGGGUGGUUGUUCCGUGGGGGUCUUUGUUCUCAGCGACAGGGAGAGGAACACCAACCUGAACGCUACAAGUUUUGAUCAUGGUUGAGGGCCGCUCUGUCCGUGGUCACCGGGAGAGUCAUCUCCCUGGUUGUGCUCUUGCCUCAAAUCGACCAGCGGAUGUUAGACACAGUUUCCUGUGUUGGAUCUGACAAGGAGGUUUGGAUUGGCUCUCCUAUCUUCUACAUCUCCAUUUAUUUUCGGAAAUUGAUAUGGGUUAUCCUUAUGUAAUGAAACAAUUUAGAUUAAACAUAAACUAAGAGAUAGAUACAGACCAAAGUUAAGUUGUUUGCUUGAGUAAAUUAGGCAGCGGCAUGGCCUCUGCCUCCUUAUAGUGAGACACUGUGAAAUGGAAGGAUCAUAUCAUAGGCAUAGAGACAUUAAGCAUUGGAGGGUGAGAAAGUUUACCCAAGAGGGCUGCAUCCAUAUGACAAAUAAGUUUCGUUCUUCCCUUCAGAAUGAUACAUAUAUCCAAGGUUUUUGAGCCGCCAGCCCUCCGGCUUGGUGAUUAAUCUUAACUGCCCAUGGCUUUUAAUGGGGAGGAUAUAUUAUCUGUGCAUGCUGAUCUAAACCGAGAGUUAACUCACUAUGGAUUGGUUUCCGCAGUUGGGUGUUUCAUCUGGAUUGCUUCCAUGUUAACUGUGAAUUUCCUUGCUGGUACUAGACCUGACGAGGAGGUUUUCGUUGUCAUCUCUAAUGGUUAUUUCCCUCGCAGCAAUAAUUCAGCUUUUUUAUUAGAUGAAAUGCGACCAAGGCUAGAGGGACAAGUUCAAUGCCCACUGGCUAUUUGAGGCUAUUGGAUAAAACACAGGUUAUAAUAAGUUUGAACCAAUUAGCGAGCUUUGUCUAUCACUGAUGGAUGCCGCCUUUUAUACCAUGUCCUUGGCUUAAGCACCUUGUGUAUAAGUUUCUUUGAUGUUCCUUUGGACCACCAAGUGUUAGUUGCCAUAAGUUGAUUUCCUAUUUCUAUAAUUGUAUAUAAGCGUUUGCCACUCUAUCAUGGUUUCGUGUAUUCUA